UGGGGACCUACGGGAGGCAGCAGUGGGGAAUAUUGCACAAUGGGCGAAAGCCUGAUGCAGCAACCCCGCGUGAGCGAUGAAGGCCUUCGGGUCGUAAAGCUCUGUCCUAUGGGAAGAUAAUGACGGUACCAUAGGAGGAAGCCCCGGCUAACUACGUGCCAGCAGCCGCGGUAAUAA
rnacentral:rRNA from 1 species